GGAGAGUAGCUAUUAUAUGGCACAUCGAUUGUAAAGCAGUCUUUGAUUUUGUAUCAUUGGUAAUGAUGGAAGGUGAUGUCUGCCUCGAUGUUUCCUUUGACAGAACUGAUUCUCAUCCCGCACUGUUCACUGAGAUUUUCGGAAUCACUGCACAAUUGCAUAUGUUAAAUUGCAUAUCUUAAUGCUCAAACCAACCACUUCUGUAGGGUCAGCCCUGCUGUGGCACUUUAGAUCCAAGUACUUCAUGUCAAAUUGAAAAGUCAAUCUGAAGUGACUUGAGGGCAAUCUGAUUAACCUUUUCAUUACUGGAAGCAUACAAAAUCUGCAGCCUGGGCAAUUAACAUGGCCUGAAAAUUCGAGUGCUUUACACUGGGAAUGGGUUUGGUAUAAUGCAACAAUCAGAAGACCCAAGAACUGGAAGAGCAAGCGAGGCAUCCAACACAAAAGAGGAGGAGGUAGCCAGAUUCAAAACUACAAUUGAGGAUACUGAAUUUAAGGCCAAUCCUCUUGCUGUCAUUGGUGAGCAUCUUCUGAAACGAAUGAGGCAGGAGGAUGAGGAUCUGAAGUGAAACCUGAAACUGUGCUCCAAGCCAAUCUGGAAAAUACCAUCAAUGUCACCAGUGAACAUUUGAAUAAUCAGCAAAUACUGGACCAGUGCAAAUAUUUGCCAGAUUUAUGCUGAAAAUGCUGACUGUCCAUGUUUACAGGUGAUAUACCUUAGGGAAAAACUGAACUUUCUUGCACUGUCCAGCCAGUGGAAACCUAAGAUCAGGCAGGAUCGGCCAUUGGAUGUAAAGGCAUUGAGAAUAAGCAAGUAGGAGAAAACUUAAUGUCUUGUCAAGAAUUAUCUUAAUUAUCUCAAGAAACAUAUUAUAAAAUAUUUUUGUUUGAAAAUAAUAAAGUUUGGUUGUUCUAAUUUAA